GACAGCGAGGAGGUUUUAACCCAGUCACACAGUAUAGUGGAGAGGGAAGGGUCUCUCAGUCACCCUCAGACUGACAGCGAGGAGGUUUUAACCCAGUCACACAGUAUAGUGGAGAGGGAAGAGUCUCUCAGUCACCCUCACACUGACAGCGAGGAGGUUUUAACCCAGUCACACAGUAUAGUGGAGAGGGAAGAGUCUCUCAGUCACCCUCACACUGACAGCGAGGAGGUUUUAACCCAGUCACACAGUAUAGUGGAGAGGGAAGGGUCUCUCAGUCACCCUCAGACUGACAGCGAGGAGGUUUUAACCCAGUCACACAGUAUAGUGGAGAGGGAAGGGUCUCUCAAUCAGGAAGACGGCAUUGUUCACAGUGAGGAGACAGACAGAGUCCCGGAAAAGACAGGAACAGGGGAGGAGGUGGAGGAGAGGAGAGAUAGGGGUUCAGAAACCAGGGCAGAGGAGAGGGAUAGGGGUUCAGAAACCAGGACAGAGACAGAGGAGAGGAGGGAUAGGGGUUCAGAAACCAGGACAGAGACAGAGGAGGGGGAUCGGGGUUCAGAAACCAGGACAGAGACAGAGGAGAGGAGGGAUAGUGGUUCAGAAACCAGGACAGAGACAGAGGAGAGGAGGGAUAGGGGUUCAGAAACCAGGACAGGGACAGAGGAUAGGAGGGAUAAGGGUUCAGAAACCAGGACAGAGACAGAGGAGAGGAGGGAUAGUGGUUCAGAAACCAGGACAGAGACAGAGGAGAGGAGGGAUAGGGGUUCAGAAACCAGGACAGAGACAGAGGAGGGGGAUCGGGGUUCAGAAACCAGGACAGAGACAGAGGAGAGGAGGGAUAGUGGUUCAGAAACCAGGACAGAGACAGA
ensembl:lncRNA